rnacentral:rRNA from 1 species
AUUGAACGCUAGCGGGAUGCUUUACACAUGCAAGUCGAACGGCAGCGCGGACUUCGGUCUGGCGGCGAGUGGCGAACGGGUGAGUAAUGUAUCGGAACGUGCCCAGUAGCGGGGGAUAACUACGCGAAAGCGUAGCUAAUACCGCAUACGCCCUACGGGGGAAAGCAGGGGAUCGUAAGACCUUGCACUAUUGGAACGGCCGAUAUCGGAUUAGCUAGUUGGUGAGGUAACGGCUCACCAAGGCGACGAUCCGUAGCUGGUUUGAGAGGACGACCAGCCACACUGGGACUGAGACACGGCCCAGACUCCUACGGGAGGCAGCAGUGGGGAAUUUUGGACAAUGGGGGCAACCCUGAUCCAGCCAUCCCGCGUGUGCGAUGAAGGCCUUCGGGUUGUAAAGCACUUUUGGCAGGAAAGAAACGUCGCGGGCUAAUACCCCGUGGAACUGACGGUACCUGCAGAAUAAGCACCGGCUAACUACGUG